rnacentral:rRNA from 1 species
CCUACGGGGGGCUGCAGUGGGGAAUAUUGGACAAUGGGGGGAACCCUGAUCCAGCCAUGCCGCGUGUGUGAAGAAGGCCCUCGGGUUGGAAAGCACUUUCAGUGAGGAAGAACGCCUGGUGGUUAAUACCCAUCAGGAAAGACAUCACUCACAGAAGAAGCACCGGCUAACUCCGUGCCAGCAGCCGCGGUAAUACGGAGGGUGCGAGCGUUAAUCGGAAUUACUGGGCGUAAAGCGCGCGUAGGUGGCUUGAUAAGCCGGUUGUGAAAGCCCCGGGCUCAACCUGGGAACGGCAUCCGGAACUGUCAAGCUAGAGUGCAGGAGAGGAAGGUAGAAUUCCCGGUGUAGCGGUGAAAUGCGUAGAGAUCGGGAGGAAUACCAGUGGCGAAGGCGGCCUUCUGGACUGACACUGACACUGAGGUGCGAAAGCGUGGGUAGCAAACAGGAUUAGAUACCCCUGUAGUC